GAGGACCGGGAUGGACUGGCCGCUGGUGUAUCUGUUGUUCUACCAAGAGCAUGGCAGAGUAGCCAAGCCGGGAAGGGAUAAACGCUGAAGGCAUCUAAGCGUGAAGCCCCCCUCGAGAUGAGAUAUCCCAUUCGAAAGAAGUAAGACCCCUUGAAGACGACGAGGUAGAUAGGGCAGAGGUGGAAGUACGGUAACGUAUGGAGCUGACUGCUACUAAUCGGUCGAGGGCUUGACCAA
rnacentral:rRNA from 1 species